rnacentral:rRNA from 1 species
GACGAACGCUGGCGGCGUGCCUAAUACAUGCAAGUUGAGCGCUGAAGGUUGGUACUUGUACCAACUGGAUGAGCAGCGAACGGGUGAGUAACGCGUGGGGAAUCUGCCUUUGAGCGGGGGACAACAUUUGGAAACGAAUGCUAAUACCGCAUAAAAACUUUAAACACAAGUUUUAAGUUUGAAAGAUGCAAUUGCAUCACUCAAAGAUGAUCCCGCGUUGUAUUAGCUAGUUGGUGAGGUAAAGGCUCACCAAGGCGAUGAUACGUAGCCGACCUGAGAGGGUGAUCGGCCACAUUGGGACUGAGACACGGCCCAAACUCCUACGGGAGGCAGCAGUAGGGAAUCUUCGGCAAUGGACGAAAGUCUGACCGAGCAACGCCGCGUGAGUGAAGAAGGUUUUCGGAUCGUAAAACUCUGUUGGUAGAGAAGAACGUUGGUGAGAGUGGAAAGCUCAUCAAGUGACGGUAACUACCCAGAAAGGGGCGGCUAACUACGUG